UACGGAGGGUGCAAGCGUUGUUCGGAAUCACUGGGCGUAAAGGGCGUGUAGGCGGUCCGCUAAGUCUGAUGUGAAAGCCCGGGGCUCACCCCCGGAAGGGCAUUGGAAACUGGCGGACUCGAGUCCCGGAGAGGAAGGUGGAAUUCCUGGUGUAGCGGUGAAAUGCGUAGAUAUCAUGAGGAAUACCAGAGGCGAAGGCGGCUACCUGGACAAUUGCUGACGCUCAGGCACGAAAGCGUGGGGAGCAAAAGGG
rnacentral:rRNA from 1 species